rnacentral:tRNA from 1 species
UAUAAGGUGCCUGAUUAAAAGGAUAAUUUUGAUAGAAUUAAACAUGCAGUUUUCCUGCUCUUAUAA